rnacentral:tRNA from 1 species
AGGGCCCUGAGGGCCGUACGGGCCCGCGCGCGGCCGCGGGCCGCCCCGGGGCACUGGGAGACCCGGGGCGGCCCGCGUUCGGCGGUCCUGGGGGCGCUG